rnacentral:rRNA from 1 species
UACGGAGGUCUCAAGCGUUGUUCGGAUUCAUUGGGCGUAAAGGGUGCGUAGGUGGCGCCAUAAGUCAGGUGUGAAAUCUCGGGGCUCAACCCCGAAACUGCAUUUGAUACUGUGGUGCUCGAGUACUGGAGAGGAGAUUGGAAUUUACGGUGUAGCAGUGAAAUGCGUAGAUAUCGUAAGGAAGACCAGUGGCGAAGGCGAAUCUCUGGACAGUUACUGACACUGAGGCACGAAGGCCAGGGGAGCAAACGGG